UUCAGUGUGGCAUACUGCCUUGGCGUAGUACUAGCAGUGUUGCUGCCAACUCCAGCAGCAUACUGGGCAGGUUCUGGGCACAGUUCAGAAACAGUUCUGAACUUUCUGUUAACUUAACUAUUAACAACAGCAAAUUCAGUUCAGCAAAGGAGAAGGUAACACUUGAUUAAUGAUGUUGUUUUUAGUGUCUUUGCUGAAAAAAUGUGUUUACAGUCUUGAAGUCACAUAUGCAUAAACAGUUGACAUGCUCUAGAGUUAUUUUACUUGUUGACAUGCAUAUACUUGUACUCCUAAUAUUGACUCACCUUGGUACUUAUACUGCAGAUUAAGGAACCAUCUCCACCUCAAGUUCCCCAAUGAUGAAAUUCGAUGCUCUAUCAGUGCUCUCCAAUGAGUAAGUUUCAAUAAGCUCUGACCUACAAGGACAAAUUCAUCAUGUCAAGGAAUAAAAUUAACAUUCUCUUUGCACAGCUAUAUGAAGGAACAAAU
rnacentral:lncRNA from 1 species